AGAGUUUGAUCAUGGCUCAGGAUGAACGCUGGCGGCGUGCCUAACACAUGCAAGUCGAACGGCCUCGCAAGAGGCAGUGGCGCACGGGUGCGGAACACGUAGCUGACCUGCCCCAAAGUGGGGGAUAACCGGCGGAAACGCUGGCUAAGACCGCAUACGCUGGUGAGGGCCAGAAGCUCACCAGGAAAGCUUGAUGCGCUUUGGGAGGGGGCUGCGGCCCAUCAGGUGGUUGGUGGGGUAACGGCCUACCAAGCCGAAGACGGGUAACGGGUCUGAGAGGAUGACCCGUCACCCUGGGACUGAGACACGGCCCAGACUCCUACGGGAGGCAGCAGUGGGGAAUCUUGCGCAAGGCGCGAAAGCGUGACGCAGCAACGCCGCGUGAGGGAAGACGGCCUUCGGGUUGUAAACCUCUUUCAGGAGGGACGAAGGUGCGGGGGCGAAUAGCCUCCCGUACUGACGGUACCUCCAGAAGAAGCUCCGGCUAACUACGUGCCAGCCGCCGCGGUAAUUC
rnacentral:rRNA from 1 species